UGUGUAAGUUGCAGAGGCGGGACCUCAGCCUUUCAGACAAGACGUGCAGAACACACGGCUUCUAUACCCCAGCAGAACCGGGAUGUGGUUCAGAGAGCAGGUUGUGCAGAUUGAGGAGGGGCACUGCUCACUGCGGACAGAUCAGGUAGUAAAUUUGCACUGAAGGUUCGGUUGAAAUCUGUAUAGGGGCCUAGACUGGAUGCUGAGGUGGUCAGGGCAGGAGUGGACACGCCUCGGUAAUCAUGCACGCCCAUGUUUGUUUGUGUCGUCCUGAAAGUACACGUGGGUUUCCUGGGCAGGGACCGAUUGUUUCUGAGAGCAGUAACCAGGUUUGUUUCCUUUGUUCUAGCUCUCCCCUCCUGCAGUGAUGUGGUGGGGGCCAAAUUGCCGUCAUCGAACCCAUUUCUGGGGGCUGUGUUGUAGGUGAAGUGAAGUACAAGUUGCUUGGUCGUGUCCAACUCUUUGCAACACCAUAGACUACACAGUCCGUGGAAUUCUCCAGGCCAGAAUACUGGAGUGGGUAGCUGUUCGCUUCUCCAGGGGUCUUCCCAACCCAGGGAUUGAACCCAGGUCUCCCACAUUGCAGGCGGAUUCUUUACCAUCUGAGCCACCAGGGAAGCCCAGGAAUACUAGAGUGGGUAGCCUGUCCCUUCUCCAGCAGAUCUUCCUGACCCAGGAACGGAACCGGGGUCUCCUGGAUUGCAGGCGGAUUCUUUACCAGCUGAUCCACCAGGGAAGCCCUAUGACACUAAACCAAAGAGAACCCAUGGCCAUAAAGUGAGGUGGGGAUUUGGGAAAACUGUAUGAAAAGGGAACUGUGCCUCUCGGCGGACAGGGUCCCCGGAACUGUUGCUAGAGACGGACCGGUGAGCUUCCACUUGACGACUCUGCAGCGAAUGACACCCCCACCCACCUCUGCUAGUUGGCAGCGUAUCCUGAUUCAGCCCUUUCCUGUUCCCAGGCCACUUGUUCCAGGGGCAGUGUCACGGAAGGACUCAGGGCGCUCUCAUUUCUCCUUUGUUAAAAGUUGUCAUAUGCCGGGCUGUGUACUGGGAUUUCUCUCAAUUUGGACUCCUCCACUUGAACUUAAAUAAAGUGUAGGCAGGAACCUUCCAUAGCUGUCUGUGAUUGUUCAAGAAACUGUGAAAUGUCCAGAAUGUGAUGAGUUCAGAAGGUGGCCUGGGGUGUGUGCUGCGAAGACUCGGACCAGGAAGCAGAGUUGAAACUGAGAGUUGGGCAGUGACUUUUGGAGCUUGGUCCCUUGCUCUCUACACUUCUGGACACGUUUCUACAGGAAGAUGAAUGCUAACCCUCUGACUUAUGUGAAGUUUUUGAAAUAUCUUUCAUGAGUGGAAGCUUUAGUAAUUUUAUUUGGUUGUACUCCUAUCAGUGGGCUGAGGAGGGGGCAGUGGAAAGCUGCUCCCCGCCCCCCCCAUAAUAUAUAAUCAAGCUCUGAAAUUUGAAAAGAACAAUUUUCCUUUAACACCUACCUUGUUGGGAGCUGCUGGACUGGGCGCCUCUGUUGUUGGGGUCAGCAUGCUGCCCAGAAGGUGUAACCAGCUGGCACAGGAAAGCUGCGCUUUGUAAAGAAAGCAGAGGGGGCAUCUCUGCCCUCAGCCGACAUGCUCUGAGGACACAUCAGGGCCGCACACUGUCGUCUGGAGAAAGAAACUUUGGAACGAGAAGAUGGGCAGGAACACGGAGAAAAACCCAGCAGCACUUGGCCCACUGUGAUGCGCUGAAAGUCACGAUUAAAGA